GCACACCCAUUGCCCUUUAAACCUUAACAAUAUUGAGAUAAGUUUUAUUAAAUUACACAAGCAUAUUAACAUUUAUAAAUUAUUUAAAAAACAUAGUUUUCUAAUAAAACAAACGUCUGAAGCGAAUUAAAAACUCGUAAACAAGCAACUAAGUAUACACAUAUACCGUCAUUGUGAUGUUUCUUGUUUAAUUUUUUAGGCGUACGAGCGUACGACCCACCUGAUGGUGAGUGGUUAGGUGAACUUCGGCAUUAGCUAGCGACGGAGCCAAGCCGCUACCGACCAAGUAUUGAGUAUUUUUCACAAGCCUCGUUUGAAGAAGGACAUGUCAUAGCGCUCGGGAAAUACCGUGGUGGGGAACUCAUUCCAAAGCCGGAUGGUAUGUGGCGAAAAAGAUAUUUGGCUCCAGGUGGCAUGGAUGAACUCUACUCCGGUCACGGGCGGUGCAAUAGUAAAAACGAGAUGGCGGGACCAUCAUCAGAACAUACAGAGGGAACUGAAGUCCCUCCGCAGACCCAGAGGUUCCAAACAAUUCGUGAGAAUGGGAUUAUCGACGAUCUGAACGUUUGUGAAAUGGUAAUAUUUUUUACUAAUUAUACAAAAGAUACCCACUUUUUUCGUUUCCGCGGAAUAUUUUGAUAUUCACUUCUCAUUUCGUUUCAUUAAGACUUGCUAUUAAAUUAUAUUAAACGAGACAGGAUCGAGUACAGCCGGAUAUACGUGUUAUUGUUAAAAUUCAUUGAUGAUGAAAUAAGUAAAUUACGUGAAUUGAAGCAUCGAUUAGUUAGAUACUCAAGAAUACGGAGCAUAAAGCUUAUGAUACGGAGUCGAAAUAGGUAGAAUUUUGGAAAACUAUUAUUCAUAUAUGCUAACAACACGAUGGUAGGGCAUAUCGAAAGCCCCCACGGGUAUCUAUCAUCGAUCACCAUUAUGCUUAGUUCUGCUAGCUAAUACAUUCGUUGAAAAAUUCAAAUGAGACUUUUAUUCCGUUGAUGAAAGUGGCUGACCUUGAAUUUAUGAUAUCAAUAUACUGAGAUAGGUUAUGAAUUCCUCUACCAACACACAACCAAAUGAAACUAACUGAAAACGUAUCCAAGUAAAGUUCUUUUCGAUUUAUAUCCAUUAAAUACUGCAACAUAUUUAAUCAACUAAGUAGCGGUCAUUCGUAGAAUGCUUCAUUCUCAAACGCCAUAAGUUUCAGUAACACCAAUUAGCAAUAAUGGAUUUCAUUAAGCGCCACACAAAAUGGAUUCUGUCCAUUACAAAUUACUUUGACCGCUAGUUACUUCAUUAUUUACGUUCCUUUCGCAGGAAACCUGUCCUAUACGACAGUAGUAAGUAGAAUAAUUACUAUGAAUAAAGUGAUGAGGUCACGAUUUUCGUGUUACGCUUUUCAUACCCUUGAAACCGGAAAUCAGCGUAAUAAUAACCAAUGUCAUUUAGAAAGUAUUUUUUUUAACGAAUCCCCUAAUGAUUUUGAAAUUUCGACACGGAUUUAUCGUUGUUGAGAUAUUACAACGCACGGAAAUAAAACACACAAAAAAUAACUUUUGCAAAUAUUUAAUCUUUUUCAUAAUUGUGGAUCUAUAUAUUUAUAUUGUACAAGUUUUAUUAUGAUACAAUCAAAUGUUUUUUAUUUUUUUAUUUUUUGUGACUGAUAUUUGACGUCACCUCCGGUGAAUAAACCAACAAUACCCAACUGAGGUUCCACUAAGAAAAAAAUGUGAUUUAAUUAACUGUACAAUCAUUAUAUUAUUAUUAAACGAUGUUUCUUUCUAUACAACAUACAAAAAAUUAUUUGUCUUCCGUUUACUUAUAUGAACGAGUGUACAACCUCAUUUUGCUAUGUGCAGUUUACAUUGAUAAACACUUAUGAAAAGAACUAAUAAUGUUUCGUAAAAUAUUAUUCGUAUGUAGUAAACGAUUGUGAUUAAAUUCUGUGCUUGUAUUCGCACUAUUUUAUUUACUUAUAUUAUUACAAUUUGACCUUAACAAAUAAACAAUAUCAUUCAUUCAACAGGUCAUUACCGAUUCGAAUGAGGCAAUAAUACACGGAGUUUGGUUUUUUAAUGUUGAAAUGUAAAAAAACACGCACUUGUAACUAAAAUACUAGACAUUCGUUGUUAUUGACAGCCUAAAUUGGGACACACGCUAGUUAAAUCAAUUAAUAUAUCAGCAGUACAUAUGCAUGACAUAGGAACUUCAGAAAAAAUUAACAUAUCAAAUACACAAUGCCAUCCUUCACUUAAUACAUCAAUAGAUAUUCGAUUAAGAAAAAUGACAAAAUUAAUUUUACAAAAAAAGGCAA